rnacentral:lncRNA from 1 species
UCUCUCUCUCUCCUCCCUCACGAUUACUCUCAGUUCUCUCUCCCUCUCCUUCGAACUCACACGGACCACCACAAAACCACCUAAAACCUAUACCAACGACGAAUCUAACACCACCAUUGGAACCCUGAAGACUUCACGAUCACGAUGGUAUCCAUUUCAAGUAAGUUUUGCUUCGGAAAACCCUAGUUUCAAAGUUCCCGUGAAAUGGUACUGUUCAUGAUCUUUUAAAUGGUUACGAUUUAGGCUAAAACAAGAUCACAGCGAGCUUGGUGAGGUCCCAAGGAAGCUCGGAGUGCUUCGUUGGAAGUUUUUGGACGUAAGAACACGGAGAUCGACAAGUUCAAAGUUUGGCCGGAGCUUUCGAGGCUUUUUCCGGCGAAUCCCCGGCGAGUUAGGAGUCGAGGUAGGUAUCAAUCUCUUCGUCUCGUCAAGUACUACAACUUUCCUUUUUGUUUCACUCAAUUUAGUUGAGUAUUGAAGAAGUUAUACUCAUUUGAAAAAUACCCAGUUUCCGGCGACCUCCGAGGCUUUCGAGGCAGUUUCCGGCCAAAAAACGGCAAACUAGGUGUUGUGCAAGGUACCAUUCUCUUUGUAUAUUCAAGGGCUACAACUUUCGUUUUUGAAUCACUUGAUUUCGUUGAGAAAUGACAAAGUUAUGGCAAUUUGAAAAACUGCCCAGAAAACGGCCGCCGGAAAAACCAGUCCGGCGACCCAAGGAAGAAGAAGGUGCUACAGUAAAAAUAAAAAAUAAAAAUAAAAUUAUUUUAAAAAUAUGUCGACGUCCGUGACGUCGAGUAGAUCACUGUGGUAUAUUCAUAUACCUAAAUUGAACACCGUAUGAGAAAGUUAUUGAGGAUUGUUGGUUAGGUGUUCAAAUAACGUUUUAUAGUUUUCACAUUUAGGUGAAAAUGUGAAUUGAUGAUCCGACCGUUGGAUCAUCACCAAACUUUGAUACGUUGUAAUACGUAAUAUUUUGAGGAUUAUUGGAACUUACGGAUUGGGAAUCCGAGUUACGGAUCUUCCGGAAUUGGAAUUGUAAGUCCAUAAUAUAAAAUGUUAACCGUCACUUAGUUUUGGAAAUUGACGGAGAUCCGACCGUUGGAUGGUAAUGAAAUUUUAGGAUGUUAUCCUAGAGAUAUAUUGUGGACCUCUGGAAGUUAUGGAUUUAAAAUCUGAGUGGCAGAUCUUCCGGAUCGAACUACGUAGUGACGUAUUUUAUAUAAGUUAUAUAUUCUAUCGAUAUGAAUUCUGAGGUUGGAUUUGAUUACUAUUCUAGGCGGCGAUCGUCGUGACGCCUUGAUGUGUGGUGCUAGGGAGUUGUUGGACGAACUCCAGGUGAGUGGGCAGUUUUGUUUUCCGUAUAUAUAUAUAUACUUAUACGUUUUUUCCCAGAAAUUGAAAAUGCAUGAAAUUAUGUUUUAAAAUGAAAUGCAUAUGAGUUAUGUGGAAAAACGGGAAGUGAAAUACCAUGCAUAGAAUUGAUAUGAAAAAAGUAUAUAGAAAUGUGAGUUGAAAUGCCAUGCAUGAAUUAAUAUAUGAUGCAUAUGUAUGAAUUGGUGCGGUGGACGCACAGGUAAGAAUUGAUUUAUGAUGCAUAUGUAUGAAUUGGUGCGGUGGACGCACAGGUAAGAAUUGAUUUAUGAUGCAUAUGUAUGAAAUGGUGCGGUGGACGCACAGAUGAGUAUUUAAUUACUGUUAUGAUGAUGAUGAUAUAUAUUGAGCUCAAAUCCUGCACCAUGGUUUAGUGCUUAUAGUAUUCACCGCAUCGCACGCUCGCCUUGGAUCCAAGUAGAUGCUAGUCGUACAGUCCACGCGGAGUGGGUACGACAGACCAGUCGCGAGAGUGUUAGUGAGAUUCCGACUGGUGGGUGACCUUAGAUUAUGUGCACAGAUGAUUUAUGAGAAGCACUAGAGCGUAACUUGUGUGCAGAAGGCCGGACGGGUCACAGAGGUGACUCCGGUAGAGUGAUAAUGAUAGAUUUUGAGCUCUAGGUUCAACCGUAUAGGGCUAUUAGAGGGCCUACGGUUGAUUACUUUCUUGCACCUGAUAUGAUUAUGUUGAUGCAUUCAUACCUUAUUACUGUUGAGAUGAUGUGGCAUGGCAUAAUUAAUAUGAGAAAUGUUGAGAUGACAUGGCAUGGCAUGAUUGAUAAAGAGAUAAUGUUGAGAUAGUAAAAAAUGAAGUUUUGAGAAUAUAUAUGUAUAUUUAUAUUUUACAUUUCUGGGAAAGUAUACAGGUUUUACGGAGAGGGGUUACAACGUUUUGAGAAAUGUUUGGAUUUGGAAAAGAAUUGUUUUACUGACCCACUCAAUUUUGGUUUUGCGCCCCUCCAGGUUCAGGAAUCACAAAGGUGUGGUGACUACGAGGAAUUCGACGGUGUUCUGACAGAUUGGACAAAAUUAGGACUCACCUUCGGGUGUAUCAACUUAUAAAUUAUAUCUUAAAGCUUCCGUACUGUGCAAAUGGUUACGUCACUCUCACGUGACGGCCUCAGAACACCGUCGAAUUCCUCGUAGUCACCACACCUUUGUGAUUCCUGAACCUGGAGGGGCGCAAAACCAAAAUUGAGUGGGUCAGUAAAACAAUUCUUUUCCAAAUCCAAACAUUUCUCAAAACGUUGUAACCCCUCUCCGUAAAACCUGUAUACUUUCCCAGAAAUGUAAAAUAUAAAUAUACAUAUAUAUUCUCAAGACUUCAAGUCGUUAACUCAACAUUUUCAUACAAUUAUGCCAUGCCACAUCAUCUCAACAUUUCUCAUAUUAAUUAUGCCAUGCCACAUCAUCUCAACAGUAAUAAGGUAUGAAUGCAUCAACAUAAUCAUAUCAGGUGCCAGAAAGUAAUCAAUCGUAGGCCCUCUAAUAGCCCUGUACGGUUGAACCUAGAGCUCAAAAUCUAUCAUUCUCACACUCUGCCGGAGUCACUCCGCGUGACCUGUACGGCCUUCUGCACAUAAGUUACGCUCUAGUGCUUCUCAUAAUCAUCUGUGCACAUAAUCUAAGGUCACCCACCAGUCGGAAUCUCACUAACACUCUCCCGACUGGCCUGUCGUACCCACUCCGCGUGGACUGUACGACUAGCAUCUACUUGGAUCCAAGACGAGCGUGCGAUGCGGUGAAUACUAUAAGCACUAAACUAUGGUGCAGGAUUUGAGCUCAAUAUACAUCAACAUCAUCAUAACAGAAAUAAAUACUCACAUGUGCGUCCACCGCACCAUUUCAUACAUAUGCAUCAUAAAUCAAUUCUUACCCGUGCGUCCACCGCACCAAUUCAUACAUAUGCAUCAUAAAUCAAUUCUUACUUGUGCGUCCACCGCACCAAUUCAUACAUAUGCAUCAUAAAUCAAUUCUUACCUGUGCGUCCACCGCACUAAUUCAUACAUAUGCAUCAUAUAUUAAUUCAUGCAUGGCAUUUCAACUCACAUUUCUAAAUACUUUUCAUAUCAAUUCUAUGCAUGGUAUUUCACUUCCCGUUUUUCCACAUAACUCAUAUGCAUUUCAUUUUAAACAUAUUUUCAUUUCAAUUCAAUUUUUGGGAAACGUCAAGUAUAUAUAUAUACGGAAAACAAAACUGCCCACUCACCUGGAGUUCGUCCAACAACUCCCUAGCACCACACAUCAAGGCGUCACGACGAUCGCCGCCUAGAAUAGUAAUCAAAUCCAACCUCAGAAUUCAUAGUGAUAGAAUAUAUAACUUAUAUAAAAUACGUCACUACGUAGUUCGAUCCGGAAGAUCUGCCACUCAGAUUUUAAAUCCAUAACUUCCAGAGGUCCACAAUAUAUCUCUAGGAUAACAUCCUAAAAUUUCAUUUCCAUCCAACGGUCGGAUCUCCGUCAAUUUCCAAAAAUAAGUGACGGUUAACAUUUUAUAUUAUGGACUUACAAUUCCAAUUCCGGAAGAUCCGUAACUCGGAUUCCCAAUCCGUAAGUUCCAAUAAUCCUCAAAUAUUACGUAUUACAACGUAUCAAAGUUUGGUAACGAUCCAACGGUAGGACUCACCUUCGGGUGUAUCAAUUUAAAUUGUAUCUUAAAGCUUCCGUACUGUGCAAAUGGUUACGUCACUCUCACGUGACGGCCAGCAUGCCCUCCUUCGGGACGGGGUGUGUCAGUUGGUAUCAGAGCAUGGUUGCAAUCUUGGACAUUUUGAGAAGUUCUAGUGAAUUCUGUCAGAACUACACCGCCUCGUAGCAAACCACGUAGUUAGAGGAACUUAGUCUCCCUGAUUUAGCGGGUUAGGGGAAACUAUUCUUAUGGUGAUUCAGUAUAUUAGAAAAAUGGACAUUUUAAGACGGGUUAUGAGUUGAAUUUGAAUCACUUAAGAGAAAUGAUGAACCUGAGGGAACAAAGUGACGGAUUAACCAAUUGGAAAAGAUGUUUCGGAAUAUGCAAGUCAAAGGAAUCUUCCUUCUGACAAGGGGUCGAGACGACUACCUGGUUUUGGUUAUGAAUUUGUAUCCUGGUGGAAACAGGAGUAUGAAUUGUUGUCACCAGAGGAAUCAGUCGAUUGAGAAUAGUUUAAGGAAUAUUUAUAUUUUACAUUUCUGGGAAAGUAUACAGGUUUUACGGAGAGGGGUUACAACGUUUUGAGAAAUGUUUGGAUUUGGAAAAGAAUUGUUUUACUGACCCACUCAAUUUUGGUUUUGCGCCCCUCCAGGUUCAGGAAUCACAAAGGUGUGGUGACUACGAGGAAUUCGACGGUGUUCUGACAGAUUGGACAAAAUUAGGACUCACCUUCGGGUGUAUCAAUUUAAAUUGUAUCUUAAAGCUUCCGUACUGUGCAAAUGGUUACGUCACUCUCACGUGACGGCCAGCAUGCCCUCCUUCGGGACGGGGUGUGUCAGUUGGUAUCAGAGCAUGGUUGCAAUCUUGGACAUUUUGAGAAGUUCUAGUGAAUUCUGUCAGAAACUACACCGCCUCGUAGCAAACCACGUAGUUAGAGGAACUUAGUCUCCCUGAUUUUUAGCGGGUUAGGGGAAACUAUUCUUAUGGUGAUUCAGUAUAUUAGAAAAAAUGGACAUUUUAAGACGGGUUAUGAGUUGAAUUUGAAUCACUUAAGAGAAAUGAUGAACCUGAGGGAACAAAGUGACAGAUUAACCAAUUGGAAAAGAUGUUUCGGAAUAUGCAAGUCAAAAGGAAUCUUCCUUCUGACAAGGGGUCGAGGACGACUACCUGGUUUUGGUUAUGAAUUUGUAUCCUGGUGGAAACAGGAGUAUGAAUUGUUGUCACCAGAGGAAUCAGUCGAUUGAGAAUAGUUUAAGGACUUGUUUAAAGGAAAAGUUUAUCCCUCCGGCAUUUAUCGAUGGUAGUAAACAAGAGUUUACAAAUAUGAGACAAGGAAGGUGAUGAUCGAGAGGAUAUUAUAGAAAGUUUUCAGAUUAGCCUCGUUCCAUCCAGAUAUUGUUUGUUAAUUUGGUGGAGGUGUUAUGUUGUUUUAAGCUGCUGGGUGACAAAAGGGAAGUGGUAUUUGGGUGACCACUAUCCAUUGUAGUUCUUAUCAGGAGUAUGCUAGAUGUUUGUUGAAUCUUGAGGACUCUGAGAACAUGAGCAACGAGAAUAAAGAAGAAUAAGAAAUGAAUGGGAAUUAAAAGAAGACGAUAAAGUUAAUGAUUCGUCAUAUCAAGGAUAUAGAAAGAUUCAGAGCUUCGAAAGAAGUGAAGCUAGAGUUAAUUCUUCCAGCUGAGGUUUUAAUGUCGCUGGUCAGAAUAAAAGUGAUGGAUAUACUGGUAAUCCCAGAUAUUUGAGACAAGGUGUCUCGAGUAAAGGAAAUGUACCUUGUGCUGCAGGUACAAAAAUUAACACUUUGGAAAGUGUGAAAUUAAUGAAUGUGUUUAUGUGAACAGAGGGGACACAGAAUUGUGAAUCGUCCCUAGAAUCAGUUGUACUCAAUAAUUUUCCAUGAUAUCAUAGUGUCGAUUCAGAAGAGUUAUAAACUUAGUAGUUUGGUCAGAUUGACUGUGAGUACAGAGAGAUUUGAUGAGUUAUAUGUUCAGCCGUACAGGCCACGAGAAGUGGAUUCGAUUGACACAUGCGAAAUUGGUGAGUUAUAGGCUCGGCCGUACCGACCACGCGGAGUGGAUCCGGCCGACGUAUUAUUUGAGAUAAGAGUUGAAUCAACCGUAUUGGUCAUUCUAGUUGACUUCGGCUGAUAUAUUUCUUAUGAUGUAUGUUAUUACCUAGAGAGUAGUAAAUAAAUGUAGUUGAGACGAGUGUAUGUAUUUUGCAUUGAGUGACAAAAUAGUAAUGUUAUAUCUUUGUGAGUGGUUGCCUACUUAUCGAGACAACGAUGAUUUAUCAGUAUUGCGGGCUGCAGACCGUAAUAUUAAUAACUCAUUCGUGGAUUCGUUAAGUAAGUAAACCGGUAGAUUAUUUUGUACUUAUUCAGAAUGCUUAGUAGUAAUAGAAUAUAUAUUGUAUCAGUUAAUUAUGUUCCAUUAGAUUGGUUGGUUAUAAUUGUGACAAGACGAAAUGUUAUGGGAAACCAGUACUUUCCAUCGAUCUGGAUGAACAGAGAUUACUUUUGUAAGUAUGCAAAAUGGAUUGAGUCAGGCUGUUAUUUAUGCUGUGUGAGAGCAAAGAGAUUGUUUUCGAAAGGCUGUAAAAAAUACUUAGCUCAUGUGGUGCUAAAUGAUGUUGUUUGGAGUAGUGUGAAUAAUGUCGAAAGAGUUAGACUUUUCUUGAUGUCUUCCUUGAAAGUAUACCUGGAUUGCCUUCAGGCAGAGAUAUGAGGUUCAUUAUUGAUUUGUUGCCAGGUAUAAAUUUAUAUUGGAGAUUGGUUCAUGAUGAGUUAAGGGAAUUGGAAAUUCAGUUGAGGGAAUUGGUUGAUAAAAGUUUUAUUCAACCUAGUACAACACUUUUGAGGAGCCCCAGUUUGUUGGUGAGGAAGAAAAUGGAUCUUGAGACUGUUCAUUGAUUAUAGACAAUGGAGUCGGGUAACGAUUGAGAACCGUUAUCCAUGGUGAUGUACUGAUGUUUAUUUAACCAGCUCAGAAGUAAUUGCGAAGAUUCAAAGAUUGAAUUGAGAUCUGGUUACUACCAAUUGAAUAUUAUAAGUGACGUUGAUCAUAAGAUGGUUUCUGGACUUGUUAUGGUCCUUAUAAAGUUUGGUGAUGCUAUGUGGAUACUCAUGCGGUUUUAUGAAUUAUUGGAUGAAGUAUUCCAAUAAUGCCUUGAUAAAUAGAUAUCAUUUUCAUUGAAGAUAUUCUGGCAUAUUCUGAGCCAGAGCAGAGCAUGUAAACGUAUUAAGUCGGUAGAACAAAGAUUGGAAGAAUGUCGAUUGUAUGCUAAGUUUAGCAAAUGCGAAUGUUGGAUGAAUCAAGCAGCAUUUCUGGGAUAUGUUAUAUAUUCUUAAGGUAUUCAAGUGAAUCCUUAAAAGGUAACAGAAAUUAAAAUUUGGAACAACCACGAGUCGUAAUUGAGAUUUGGAAUUUCUUAGCUUACCAGGCUAUCUUGGAUGGUUGUGAAAGAUUUUUCAGUCAUUGCUUUGUCAUUGAUGAGACUGUUGAGAAAAGAGGUUAGGUAUGAGUGGGAAGGAAUUGUAAGCAAAGGAUUCAACAACUGAAGUAUUUCCUCACUCAUGCACGUAUUUUGGUAUUCCCAGAGAAUAGUGGUAAUCAUAAAUUUUUAGUGAUGUUUCUUGAAUGGUAUUGGAGGCAUGUUGAUGCAAAUGUUAGGGUGAUUGCAUACGUUUCACGAUAAAUGGAAUCUCAUAAGAUGAAUUACCCUACUGGUGAUUUGGAAGUCACGAUUACCAUUCUUGCUGUGAAGUUAUGGAGACAUUAUAUUUUAGUGGGAAUGCAAGAUUUUUUUUUUUACGAAUCCAAAAAGUCUUCAAUAUCCAUUACUUGGAAGGAUUUGAUAUGAGGCAGCGAAAGUGAAUUGUAUUGCUUAAUGAACAUGAUUGUACGAUCAGGGUGAUCGUAAAGUUUGUUCUAGCUGAAGCACUUGGUGAGAAGACUACAGUAAGAUUAAUAUCUGGCAUGUUUGCCAAGAGUAUCAUCUUGUGGAUUGAAAACCAACGGAAGAAAAAUUAAGAAUGGAAGAUCGAGAAGAAGUUAUACUUGUUAAGUAACAAGUUAGUACAUUUACUCCAGUGUUGAGUAACAACCUUUCCCAGACAGUGCAACACUACUUAUUUGUUUUAUGGAAAAGAGAAUUGGAUUACGGAACUGCUAAGUUUCUUAAGUAUGUUGGUUGUGCAGUUUCUGAAGUAACGCCAUAAGGACCAUGAAAUGUGUCACGUGAGUCGGUUUUUGAUGACUUGUGAAUGGAAUGUUUCUGGGUAGAGAAAGAUUCGAUCAAGAAAGAGUUUUAGUAGACCCUGAGACUAUGGAUGAGUCUCCUCAAAGUAUUCAGGUGAUUAAGUUAACCUGAAGUAACCAGGAAUGGCAAAAGAGAUCAACAGAUGGAUAUGCCACUAAUCAAGUGUGUAAGGUAAAUGGUUUGAUAUUUUUGGAAAUUUCACCAUGAACAGAAAUAGUAAGAUUCAGAAAGGGAGACAAGAUAAGUCUUGAACACAUCAGUCCGUUUUGAUCAUUAAAGGAAUCGACGAAGUUGCAUACAAGUUUGUGAUGCCUUCAGAAUUGGCUAAGGCACAUAAUGUAUUUUGUGUUUGAUGCGUUGUCACUAGGUGGCAGAUUUGUCACAUGGGAUUAUGGUGUAACUAUUGAGAAUUAAAUUGGAUUCGACUUGAUAAGGAACCAAGGACGACUUUGGAUUGGAAAAAGAAGGUCCUGAGAAUUAAGACAGAGUAAGUAGUAAAAGCUUUGUGAAGGAAAUCAUUCAGUAGAAAAGUAUGUGGGAGAAAGAGAAUCGGAUGAGAGAGAUUUACCCGAAGCUAUUGUUGGAGUAUGGUUGAUUUAGUUGGUUGCUGGAAUUUCGGGGACGAAAUUCUAUAAGGAGGGGAGAUUGUCACAGCCCGUUCCAAAAUAUUACAUUCGUGGCUGUGAAUGGACGAAAUUGCCCUUAAGAAAUACUAAGUAUGUGAAGCUCAAGUUGAUAAUUAUCUAAGUUCCUAAGUUUUGAAAAUAAAAUGGAAUUUAAUAAGGAUGGAACUUAGAUUUUUAGGUUAAAAUUUUGUGGUUUAGAGUUAGGGAUUAGAAAAGGACCACGUGGGAUCCCCAUUCCUUAUUUCCCUCCCCAUUUCCCGUAUACUGUCCUUCACACUCUCUCUCUCUCCUCCCUCACGAUUACUCUCAGUUCUCUCUCCCUCUCCUUCGAACUCACACGGACCACCACAAAACCACCUAAAACCUAUACCAACGACGAAUCUAACACCACCAUUGGAACCCUGAAGACUUCACGAUCACGAUGGUAUCCAUUUCAAGUAAGUUUUGCUUCGGAAAACCCUAGUUUCAAAGUUCCCGUGAAAUGGUACUGUUCAUGAUCUUUUAAAUGGUUACGAUUUAGGCUAAAACAAGAUCACAGCGAGCUUGGUGAGGUCCCAAGGAAGCUCGGAGUGCUUCGUUGGAAGUUUUUGGACGUAAGAACACGGAGAUCGACAAGUUCAAAGUUUGGCCGGAGCUUUCGAGGCUUUUUCCGGAGAAUACCCGGCGAGUUAGGAGUCGAGGUAGGUAUCAAUAUCUUCGUCUCGUCAAGUACUACAACUUUCCUUUUUGUUUCACUCAAUUUAGUUGAGUAUUGAAGAAGUUAUACUCAUUUGAAAAAUACCCAGUUUCCGGCGACCUCCGAGGCUUUCGAGGCAGUUUCCGGCCAAACCACGGCGAACUAGGUGUUGUGCAAG